UUGGAGGGCAAGUCUGGUGCCAGCAGCCGCGGUAAUUCCAGCUCCAAUAGCGUAUAUUAAAGUUGUUGCAGUUAAAAAGCUCGUAGUUGAAUUUCGGAAUUUUUUUAUCGGUUGAAUCAACAGGUUCGUACUGAUUUUAAGAAUUUCUACCUUCUGGAGAACCUUAAUGUCAUUUAUUUGGUGUUUUGGGAAACCAGGACUGUUACCUUGAAAAAAUUAGAGUGUUUAAAGCAGGCUUUUGUCUGAAUAUAUUAGCAUGGAAUAAUGAAAUAGGACGGCAUGGUUCUAUUUUGUUGGUUUCUAGGAUCACCGUAAUGAUUAAUAGGGAUAGUUGGGGGCAUUAGUAUUCAAUUGUCAGAGGUGAAAUUCUUGGAUUUAUUGAAGACUAACUACUGCGAAAGCAUUUGCCAAGGAUGUUUUCAUUAAUCAAGAACGAAAGUUAGGGGACCGAAGACGAUCAGAUACCGUCGUAGUCUUAACCAUAAACUAUGCCGACUAGGGAUCGGAUGAUGUUAAUUUUUUAAUGACUCAUUCGGCGCCUUACGGGAAAC
rnacentral:rRNA from 1 species